rnacentral:lncRNA from 1 species
CUAAAAGUUAAAAUAAUACAAGACUUACAAAGGCCAGAGGCUCCUGACUUGGGACAAGCGCAAAAAUGUGGCAGGGUUAAACAUGUUUGUGAGAUCUCAACCCUCCCCCUAUAGCUCUAGCCAAUGCAGAAAAGUAAACGCAUAACAAUAAGCACAUUAAAAUUCAGUUCAAGAGAAGUCCGAGUCUGAUGUCAGAAGAUGUAACCAAAGAAAAUAAACAAAAUGACAAUAAUACAUAAAUAACAUCAGACUACUAGCAGUUAACUGACAUGCCAGCUCCAGACUUCAAUUAAACUGAUUGAAAAAUUAUAUUUUCAUCAUAUGAAUAUCAGGCAAAAUCCUCCCCGUGAGGGGUUUAGUAUCAUACCAUCAUAACAUAUAUGAGAAGAACAUAACCCGUGUCAUGCCAACAACUGGUUAAUUAAUAAUAAUUGUGUUUAGUUCCAAUGUAAAGACCCUAUAAGUGAAUCAAUAUUAGCG